GACGAACGCUGGCGGCGUGCCUAAUACAUGCAAGUAGAACGCUGAAGGAGGAGCUUGCUCUUCUGGAUGAGUUGCGAACGGGUGAGUAACGCGUAGGUAACCUGCCUGGUAGCGGGGGAUAACUAUUGGAAACGAUAGCUAAUACCGCAUAAGAGUAGAUGUUGCAUGACAUUUGCUUAAAAGGUGCAAUUGCAUCACUACCAGAUGGACCUGCGUUGUAUUAGCUAGUUGGUGGGGUAACGGCUCACCAAGGCGACGAUACAUAGCCGACCUGAGAGGGGGAGCGGCCACACUGGGACGGAGACACGGCCCAGACGGCUACGGGAGGCAGCAGGAGGGAAGCUUCGGCAAGGGACGGAAGUCUGACCGAGCAACGCCGAGUGAGUGAAGAAGGUUGUCGGAUCGGAAAGCUCUGUUGUAAGAGAAGAACGAGUGUGAGAGUGGAAAGUUCACACUGUGACGGUAUCUUACCAGAAAGGGACGGCUAACUACGUG
rnacentral:rRNA from 1 species